rnacentral:lncRNA from 1 species
AUGGGAGCCGGCAGCUGGGGGGGCGGGGGGAGACAGGGUACGUGGCUGCCGGGGGCAAGGGCUCACCGCGCAGGCAGGAAGCAGGGCAGUGUUGGGGCGCUCCCCUCCCCAACAAGCGUGGUUUCUGACCUCUUCCUGCUACUCGCCACUAUAACCGGGUCCCCUCGCCAGCUCCCUAGCCCGGCCCUGGUCUCGGAGCGAGCACCCCGCACACGGCGCCCGGGACACAGCUCCGAGGCUAAGCAGAGAUCCACAACUGACCCCAAAGAUCUCUGGAGUCCGUCCCUCGCCCUGGAACCCCUCCACGUGAAUCAAGCUGCUCACACUCGCUCUUCUCCAGGAAAAGAGCAGAGGUCAGGGAGGCAGGACGCACAUGAAAGCCUUCGCUACCAGCCCACUGAGUUAGGCAAUGGAACGGUUAGCCGUCCUGACUCCACCCCCAGAGGGCCCGCUGGGGAGCCCGCGGACGGUCCCCGGUUCCCUCCGCACUCCUCGCGGGUCCACCUCCAAACAGACCCCGAGGCAGCCGUCAAUCCCGCCAGCGCCCGCCCUCAGGCUGGGGUUGGGGAGAGUCCUGGGCGCCUGGCCCCUCAGGGUCUUGGUAUAUAGUCCACGCUGGCCUGGAACUCAUGGCGAUCUUCCUGCCUCAGCCUCCUGACUGUUGGGAUUACAGGUGUGCACCAUGAGACCUGGUUUGCCUUGACCUUUUCCUGGCACCCCCAUGUCAACACAGGGCCACUCAUGUAACUGCUGUGGCGAGGAAGAGGAAGACUUCAGAGUGCUUUGCACUUGGCCUAGAAGUGAGCUUCCUCCGUCAUUGCAACAGCCAGCACUAGUCCUAGGGCCCAUCCGCAGCCAGGGGCUGAGGUGACCAGUCUCUAGGACUGGAGAUUGUGAACCAAGUCCUGCCUACAGCCAAAGCUCACGCUCUGCCUAGGACAUGCAGGCCAGUGAGAGGGGUCCCCGCUCCAGCCCUGCCAGCUCAAGUGGUGGGGACAGUGAAGCCGUUAAGGAGCAGCACUGGACCCUGCAUGACUCAAAACCUCACCACUCUCAAUGCUUUUUAAAGUUCACUGGGGUUCACUGACUCUCCCAGACAUCAUAAAGAAGUGGGCCAGGCAUUUGUGCAUAGCCCCACUUUAAAGCUCAAGAAACUGAAAUCAGGAAGGUUGCAAGUCUUGAGGCAUUCAAAGGUAGGAACUGAAAUCCCCACACUGGACUCGUUCUUCACAAGCUCGACCUGAAGCUCUUCCCAACAAAUCCAGUUCCCUGUAACUUUGGAAUUGGGAAAGACCAGCUUUCCACCAAAUGAUCUCCUGGACCUGCUCACUAAGGCCUCAAAUUCCACCACUGAGACCAGGGUAUCGCUGCACCCACCUCCGAAGGGAAUGAGUCACGGGCGGUAGUCCUCCCACACGGCAAACAGUGACAGUGCCACAUGCUGCUGCAGGUGGACAUCGGGGUUCGGGCAGACGAGGGUCAGGGCAGCUUCGAAUACAAGCAUUCCGGGUGAAGCGCCUUCCCGAUUCUCCUUGUCUGUUCUCUUCUACUGCGUUCAAAACCAUUUAAUAUUUUAUUUCAUUCCCUGAACAGUUCUGUUAGGGACCUGACGAGGAUGGACUGAUCUCUCUUCCAACCUUCAGUUUCCAAAAAAGGAAAGCUGCAGAGGCUAACAUGACUUCUCAGAGCAAAGCAAUGACUGAACUGGAAUUAAGAAGCAAAAAUGGGGCUGGGGAUUUAGCUCAGUCGUGCUGCUGCCUGCCUCGAAAGUGCAAAGUCCUGAGUUCGAGCUCUGGUACCAAAAAAAAAGAAGCAAAAGUGUUCCAGGAGCAAUAAUCACCAAUCCUUAUGAGUAUGCAGCAAGACUGCCACAUCUACCUGGUGAUAUAUGAAUUACUAUACUUUACUUAAUAAGGGUUUUAUUAUAAACUAUUUCAUAUAUAAGAGAAUUUAUAUAAUGUAUAUGUGGUAUAUAGAAUAGUAAAGCUCUGUCUAGAACUCUUGCUUAUUAACAAUGCUACACAACACUAGGUCUCCUUAAAUUAUAAAAAUAGCUGGGCAUGGUGGUGCACACCUGUAGUCCCAGCCCUGGGGAGGGUGGGGCAGGAGUUAUCACUGUGAGUUUGAGCCCAUCCUGAACUACCUACAAAGACCCUGUCUCAAACAAACAAACAAACAAAAAAAUCAAAAUCAUAUAGAAGAUGGAAACCUUAAAGAACCUUCCUGCCUCCUGUUGACCCCUGCAUCUCCCCAGGGAUAAUGGCUAUUAACUAUUGGUCACAAGAUACAUACUCACUUCAGAAAGCAAUCCAGCAAUGUAUAUUGAGAGUCCUAAAUAUGGCUAUAACUCUUGACCCUAUAUCCCACCCUGGGAAUUUAUCCUUCUCAGAAGGCCUUCCAGUCUUCCCUCUUUGCCUGGAAGUAGCCAAGCUUAUCCCACACAAUUCUUGCCCCAGUUGUUCCCCACCAGUCACUAUACUUGGCGGAGUUGCUCACAAUUGGUUGUUGUCAGUUUUUUGUCAUGAUAGUGAAAUACCAGAGGCAGGCUACUUAUGAAGAAACGAGGUUUAUUUAGCUCGCAGUUUUUGAGGUUUCAAGUUUAAGAUCAGGCGACGCCCGUGUUCAGCCUCUGAUCAGGGCAGUGGGUGGCAUCAAGGGAGCAUGUCUAGAAGCAAGUGGUCACAUCUCAAACCAGGAGGAAGAGACAGAGGGGCCGGGACCUCCCACUCGGCCCCACCCCUGAAGGGUCCAACACUGCCGCUGCUACCACCCUGCAGACCAACCCUCCAACUAGACGCUCAGCGAUGCUCACACCACGUGGGACCACUGACAGAUGUCCAGUCAGCUCUCAGUCCAAGGUCAUCACCUCCAGAGGCCAGCCAUGUUCACCUGUCUGUACCAAUUUCCUCCCCCAACACCACUGCCUUUCAUCUUACCCCAAAUUGUUUUCCCCCUUGAGCCCACCAUUCUCUGGUCCCACCUUGCUUAACGGUUGGAUCACUAAUUUGCUCUGUCUUUUACCCUCCAUGAGGAGUCCCUCAAAAGGGAGCCUCAGUUGCCUGCCGUGUCGGAUGCUGCGUCCCCAGCACCUGACAUGCCAGGAGAAUGCACAACUUACUGGAGAGGAUAAAUGUCUGUUUGUGAAGCCACCAGCUGGUACUUAGAUUAGAGAUGUUACACAACUCACCUUGCAACCCAGGCACGACUGCAACAGAGUGUCCUUGUGACACCAAGGAAGCUUGGUGCAGGAAGUUGGGGCACUUCUGGGCCACCUUGUCACUCCUUCCGCCACAAUGACUGCCUUUCAGAGGUGGCCCCUUCAAGGCCCAUGGUCUGUCCUUCCCCUAAAAUUCCAGUGGUGGCAAACCUGUAGUAUGUAUGCCGCAACUGGCCGGUUGUAUCAUUGAAAGCUCUAAAGGGUUUGCCAUCAUGCAGUCUUGGCUUCUAAAACAAGAGAGGUGAACAAAACCUCCUGGGCCUAAGGCUCUGUCAAAAUAACAUCUAGGCCAGAGGUAAUUAAGAAGAGUAAUUUGAAGACUCUCAAGUCAGACAAUGGAAACAUUAAGAGUUUCCACUGAAACAGAAACUUGGUCAAAAGGGCUGGGCUCCAGAAGCCUCUGCUAACACUCAGAGAAGAGAAAAGCUGCUAGUUUAGCCUGAGGGUAGGGCGACAGUGGGAGAAAGGGGAGCCUGGGCCUGGAUGGGAGCUGCGCCAACACAGGAGAAGUGGUUGGGCUGACUGACUUUCCCCGACUCUUCCUAACAAAAUGAAACCUAUUACCACAGAUGAGCCAAAAGAAAUGGCAGUCCCAGGCGUAGUUCAGGGCUACAGUGUAUGUCUCAAAUGCAAGAGGCCCUGGUUUCCAUUCCCAGUACUGCAAAAAAUAAAAUAAAAAUCUUACAUAGUCUUAUCCAGGAAGGCAUUCUUUCUUUUUGGGGGGUAUUUUUGAGACAGGGUCUCAUUAUGUAGUCCAGGCUGGCCUGGAACUCAUGAUGAUCCUCCUGUCUCAGUUCCCCAAGCUCUGGGAUUGCAGGCGUGUGCCACCACGCCCAUGGGCAUUAUUUCUGUAGUCUCCUUUUUUGGGGGGGGGGGGGGGGGNNNNNNNNNNNNNNNNNNNNNNNNNNNNNNNNNNNNNNNNNNNNNNNNNNNNNNNNNNNNNNNNNNNNNNNNNNNNNNNNNNNNNNNNNNNNNNNNNNNNGGGGGGGAGAGAGGAUCUUGUUAUAUAGUCCAGGCUGGCUUCCAACUCACAGAGAUCCUCCUGCCUCACCCUCCCAAGUGCUAAGAUUACAUGUGUACCACCAAGCCCAGCUGUAGCGUCUCCUUAAAGUAUAUUUUUUCCUUAUCAUAAAUAUACCUUAAACAAUAAAAAUAUGAUGAUACUGUGAGUGCCCUAUGCAAUGAUUUUUUUCACCUAGUAAUAGAUUCUGAAUGUUUUCUCCUGUCAUUAAACACUACUCAAUACUGCUAAUUUUAUGGCUGUGUAGCUUUCUGUUGUAUGACUAUGACAUCCAACCAAUUCCCUGUCCUUGGACAUUAAAUUGUUUCCAGUUGUUAGGAACACCCCAGCAAUGAUGAUUUCUGAGAAGCAUACACGAUCAUUUCAUGAGGACUAAUUUCCGGAAGCAGAAUCUCUGGGCUAAAUGGUUUUUCUGUGAAACUGCUUUGGACAACAUAUUUAUUAAUUCUUUUUUUUGGUGUGGGGGAUAAUUGAGACAGAGUUUCUCUACGUAGCCCAGGAUGGUCAUGAAUUCUGUUUUAAUAUUUAGAUCUUUAAUCCACUUCAAUUUUAGUUU